rnacentral:rRNA from 1 species
GAUGAACGCUGGCGGCGUGCCUAAUACAUGCAAGUCGAACGGAGAUUCUGUCGUAAUUCGUUACAGCGGAAAUCUCAGUGGCGAACAGGUGAGUAACGCGUUGGUGACCUGCCCCGGAGAGGGGGAUAACAGCUUGAAAGGGCUGCUAAUACCCCAUGAUGUCUAGAGGGUUAGAAACUUCUAGACGAAAGGCUUCGGUCGCUUCGGGAGGGCCUGCGUCCCAUCAGCUAGUUGGUAGGGUAAUGGCCUACCAAGGCGAAGACGGGUAGGGGACCUGAGAGGGUGACCCCCCACAAUGGAACUGAAACACGGUCCAUACACCUACGGGUGGCAGCAGUAGGGAAUAUUGCACAAUGGGCGAAAGCCUGAUGCAGCAACGCCGCGUGCGCGAAGAAGGCCUUCGGGUUGUAAAGCGCUUUUCGGGGAGAAGAGAAAGGACGGUAUCCCCGGAAUAAGGAUCGGCUAACUACGUG